GACCACGUAGCUCAGUUGGCAGAGCAUUGGGCUAGUAUUCCAAAGGUCGUAGGUUCGAUUCCUACCGUGGACA